CAGUGGGGAAUUUUGGACAAUGGGGGCAACCCUGAUCCAGCAAUGCCGCGUGUGUGAAGAAGGCCUUCGGGUUGUAAAGCACUUUUGUCCGGAAAGAAAUCCCUUGCUCCAAUACAGCGGGGGGAUGACGGUACCGGAAGAAUAAGCACCGGCUAACUACGUGCCAGCAGCCGCGGUAAUACGUAGGGUGCGAGCGUUAAUCGGAAUUACUGGGCGUAAAGCGUGCGCAGGCGGUGAUGCAAGACCGAUGUGAAAUCCCCGGGCUCAACCUGGGAACUGCAUUGGUGACUGCAUCGCUGGAGUAUGGCAGAGGGGGGUAGAAUUCCACGUGUAGCAGUGAAAUGCGUAGAGAUGUGGAGGAAUACCGAUGGCGAAGGCAGCCCCCUGGGUCAAUACUGACGCUCAUGCACGAAAGCGUGGGGAGCAAACAGGAUUAGA
rnacentral:rRNA from 1 species